UACGGAGGGUCCGAGCGUUAAUCGGAAUUACUGGGCGUAAAGCGUGCGCAGGCGGUUUGUUAAGCGAGAUAUGAAAGCCCUGGGCUCAACCUAGGAAUAGCAUUUCGAACUGGCGAACUAGAGUCUUGUAGAGGGGGGUAGAAUUUCAGGUGUAGCGGUGAAAUGCGUAGAGAUCUGGAGGAAUACCGGUGGCGAAGGCGGCCCCCUGGACAAAGACUGACGCUCAUGCACGAAAGCGUGGGGAGCAAAC
rnacentral:rRNA from 2 species